ACACUCCUGCGGGAGGCAGCAGUGAGGAAUAUUGGACAAUGGGUGGAAGCCUGAUCCAGCCAUCCCGCGUGCAGGAAGACGGCCCUAUGGGUUGUAAACUGCUUUUAUCUGGGGAUAAACCUACUUACGUGUAAGUAGCUGAAGGUACCAGAAGAAUAAGCACCGGCUAACUCCGUGCCAGCAGCCGCGGUAAUACGGAGGGUGCAAGCGUUAUCCGGAUUUAUUGGGUUUAAAGGGUCCGUAGGCGGACUGAUAAGUCAGUGGUGAAAUCCGACAGCUUAACUGUCGAACUGCCAUUGAUACUGUUAGUCUUGAGUAAGGUUGAAGUGGCUGGAAUAAGUAGUGUAGCGGUGAAAUGCAUAGAUAUUACUUAGAACACCAAUUGCGAAGGCAGGUCACUAAGUCUUAACUGACGCUGAUGGACGAAAGCGUGGGGAGCGAACAGGAUUAGAAACCCGUGUAGUCCCAU
rnacentral:rRNA from 1 species